rnacentral:rRNA from 1 species
AUUGAACGCUGGCGGAAUGCUUUACACAUGCAAGUCGAACGGCAGCAUAGGUGCUUGCACCUGAUGGCGAGUGGCGAACGGGUGAGUAAUACAUCGGAACGUGCCCAGUCGUGGGGGAUAACGUAGCGAAAGUUACGCUAAUACCGCAUACGAUCUACGGGUGAAAGCGGGGGACCGUAAGGCCUCGCGCGAUUGGAGCGGCCGAUGUCAGAUUAGGUAGUUGGUGGGGUAAAGGCCCACCAAGCCAACGAUCUGUAGCUGGUCUGAGAGGACGACCAGCCAAACUGGGACUGCGACACGGCCCAGACUCCUACGGGAGGCAGCAGUGGGGAAUUUUGGACAAUGGGCGGAAGCCUGAUCCAGCCAUUCCGCGUGCAGGAUGAAGGCCUGCGGGUUGUAGACUGCUUUUGUACGGAACGAAAAGCUCUGGGUUAAUACCCCGGGGUCAUGACGGUACCGUAAGAAUAAGCACCGGCUAACUACGUGCCAGCCGCCGCAGUAA